GGCAGUCUCCCCGUGAUCUCUCCAAGACCCAGCAGGGAAAGAUGGAAGGUCUCGAGUCUCUCCUCACCUUAGAAGAUGGGGUAAGCUGCAAGUCAGGUCUGGGCCGUUUGAACUGCAGCACAAUUCACAGCAGCCAAGAUCUGGAAAUUUUUAAGUGCUUCUUGACACAAACACUAGCUUCUGUCUAGUCCUCCAAACGUAUGAAAAUUCCACUCCUGCGUUACCUGCUCUACUCAAAGUGUGGCUCCCAGGAGAUAAGGGUCUUGUACUAGCAGCUGAACAACGAGACAGAAGAGGAACACCCUGGGCUGCUGUGCAAUGAUGUCCUUUCUCCAGCACAGCAUGGGCCCUCGUUUCUGCAAGCAGGUCUCAGUGCAGAGUGGGUCGCUCUGAGGGACAGCAUUGCAUCCUGAUUUUUUGCAUCUUGGACUGGUAGAGGUCUGGUUCCAGUUGGCUUGGUCAAGCAGGAGGGGGAGGGUGGAGCCUCGAAGGUCACAAGCAGCUUCUACCCGGAGGGCAGCACAGCACAGGUGCUGUUCAGAUGUCCUCAACCAUCCGCAGGUCAAAGUUGGCUUUGACAUCCGUGUGGGUAUUAGAACCAGUCCUUGGGCCCUCUCUCGAACACCUCGGCACCUGUGGAGUUGAUGAACGGUCUCCCUCCUGGGCCUUGCUGUUUGGCGGCCUCGGUGUGGAUGAAUCUCCACCCAUGGACAUCUGGAGGCAAACUCGCCCUGCUGCCUGGAAUUAUAGAUCUGAAGAGAGAAGGAAAGCCUCCGAUUAAACCGGCAGUCCUGAUAGUUGUGACCUAUGAGGAUUGGGCCGCACUAAUUAGCCCCUUGCAACAGCCCUCGGUGUGCACUUAAUGCAGUCAGCUUAGAAGAAGGGAUGAUUGCUGCCUCAGCCCAGACUUCUGCCACAGCAAUGCCUCACCGAGGAUCCUGUGUAUAUAAUAUGAUAGCUCCAUGCCACUCUGCAUGUGACCAGCUGCUUGCAACCUCCCAGGAACUGGAGAAACCUCAUCACCUGAGUGGUAACCUGGCUGGAUCUGCAGGUGACCAGAUUGGCUCUCACCCAGGCCCUCUGUCCUGUCUUCUCCAUCUGCCCAGGUGUAUGAUUAUGGUAUUGGAUCCUUUUCCCACCCAUAUCUCAGGCCUCUUUAACUAUCACUGAGGUCGUGUGCAGAUAAAGAGGAGUGAUUUGAAGAAGACUGCACAUUUGUUGCAUUUCCUUCAGUGAAGAAACUGAGAAAAAGAUCUGUGCUUUUCAUGAUAUUCUUGCUAUUUUGGUUUCUAGAAGUAAUUAAAGAUGUGUUUCUGUACUCUCUGUGGAAGAUCUGCUUUUCAGAUGUCGAAACUCCAUUGGGAUGAGCUAGUAAUGGAAACCAAUGAAAAUAUUUUCCUGUUUUUUCUGCUCACGCCCUGUAUGAUGUAAAGGAAGCAAAUUCAUGUGCUUAACCAUGUGCUUCUGAUGUUUUGACAUCUUGGAUCCUGGCUGGCACUGGAGAAACUGCUCUCUGAAGGCCACCAAUCCUCACAGAUCCCGGAAUGCCUGACUAUGAAUGAGUGUCAAAUCCCUUCGUGGUCGGAGCGCCCCCUCCUGUUGGAAACGGGCAUCGUUUUCACCCUACCGGCAUUACAAUAGAACUCACCUGUAAGAACGUCCAUUGAAAGUACAAGGCUGCAGCUCAACUAUGAAAUUAUGUGAAACACUUUGAACCUCUGAACAACAGCACAGACCGUCCCAGAAUCCACAUUCUCUUCUUCAGCAGCGGCAAUGAAGGCACUUCUUAGAAACUGGCUGCAAGAUGAAAGAAUGGUGACUGCCAGAAUGCGCUAGAGGAGAGGAAUCACAAGUUGCGACACGCUGGGAUCCCGCCGACGCAACUCUAAAAGCACAAACAGCUGCUCAGACCCCAAGCCAUUCUGGACGUGGGCUACCGCAGCCUCGGAUAGUUGGACAGAUGUCCCC